AGUUCACUAAUUAAUAUUAUUCUUAAAAUUAAAGUUUGAAUACAUAUUUUGUUUACAUUAUGAUAUCAAAAAGUAUUUUUAGAAUUAAUGUUUGAAUACUAAAAUUCUUUAUUUUCUUUUACACAGGUACAUGAAUGAUGAAGAUGUAAAAAAGUCACUUAAUGAGUGAAAAUGUAAGAUAAUGGAGCACUGGUAUACAAGGAAACUACAUAGUUUUAUAUUUUUGAAUUUGUUAUUGUUUUCGUAUCUCAAUUAGAUUUAUCUAUUUUUGUUUGAGUAAUUUCACUUAAUUUACUUAAUGAGUUUGUAUGCAAGUGUUAU
rnacentral:lncRNA from 1 species